CACGUAGGGUGCGAGCGUUGUCCGGAAUUAUUGGGCGUAAAGAGCUCGUAGGCGGUGUGUCGCGUCGGCCGUGAAAACCUGCAGCUCAACUGUGGGGCUUGCGGUCGAUACGGGGCAUCACUGGAGUUCGGCAGGGGGAGACUGGAAUUCCUGGUGUAGCGGUGAAAUGCGCAGAUAUCAGGAGGAACACCGGUGGCGAAGGC
rnacentral:rRNA from 1 species